UUUGCAUGCAUGAAUUUGAUGCUAGAGUAUAAGGGAAUUUCACCUAAUCGUUAUUAACUUAUAUUCUUAAGUAGUAAAAGUCGCUAGUCACGAUUGUGUUAAGUAAAUCAUUGGCAAGAGUAACAUGCGUAUUCCAUAGUUAUGAAUGCCUCGUCAAUGCUUAUGAUUUCCAUUGAACUUAAUGAUCUUUGAUAUGUGUCUCUAUCAUGCGUAUUCCAUAGUUAGGGUCCUUGAUAAGAAUAAUUUGGUUGUAAUGCGUAUUCCAUUCAAUUCAAUGAAUUUAGGGAAAUCUGAGAAUUAAUUGGUGCAAUCUAGUUAAUUUGGGGCAUUGUCAUUCAUGGUUUGUUGAAAAAUUAACUGGAAAUCGAGUCGUAUGCAUAUGUUUCAUGUGUGGAGAAGGAACCCUCUAACUAGCCUUUCACCAUUCUAUUUCAUCAAUUUCGUGAGUCUUUAAGUUUGUUUACAAAGUUAUGUUUUAAAAGUUCAAAUUCGUCAAAACCAAACCCCUUGCUUUUAAGUCUUGUUUUUAGAGUCAAAACCUGUUUUCUUUUGAUCUUUUGAGUCUUUGAAGUUCUAUUUUCGUCCAAAUCACUUGUUAGGUCUAGAAUUGAGUCUUUUUUAUUGUUAUUUGCUGUUUUGAGUGUUUUAAGUUAGUUUUGAGUUUAUAAAGUCUAGUUUAGUGUUUUUUAUCUUAUAUUUGUUGAUUAGCAUCCCUAGUUAAUCCCCGGUCUAGAACGAUCCCUACUUGCAUCAUUACUACAAUUGUCAUCAAUAGGGUUUAAUUUGUGUGUCAACUUAAUUUUCACAUCAACAACCUCGCCGAGUUCUUAUUCAACAAUGUUGGCUCGUUGUUGAAUUAACCCAAUAAGUCCAUGGUCAUCCAAAGAGCCUAAGAUAACUAUAAAGUCCAAUUUCAAAGGAAUGAAAAAACCAUAGUAGUAGUAGUUACUUCCAAUAUUUGAAAAAAUAGUUUUGAUAUUGAUUUGUUUUUCUCAAAACAAAUAGUGGGAGUAUCAUAUGCUACUAAACCAUAAUGAACUCAAUUAGUAGUUAUAUAUAUCUCCAAUAUUUUGAAAAAUGUUUUGAUAUUGAUUUGUUUUAUGAAAACGAAUAGUGGGGAUAUCAUAUGCUACUAAUUUCAUUAACUCUGGACUAGUAGUUAUAAUAGGACACAAUUUAUUUGAAUGUGAUUAAAUAAAUAAAAUUGAUGAGACCUUAAAAUCCCUCAACCAACAUACAAUAUUA
rnacentral:lncRNA from 1 species